rnacentral:rRNA from 1 species
UGGGUGAAAGCCGUGUUCAUUGACACUAGGCCGGACCCCUAUUCACGAGGAAAGCCUUAGUGCAUUAAACUUGUGCUUUGGUCGAUUCGUGUCGUUUACUGUGAACAAAUUAGGGUGUUUAAAGCAGACCUCUGUUUGUAUACAUUAGCAUGGAAUAAUUAGAUAUGACUUCAGUUAUAUUUUGUUGGUGAUAACUAAAGUAAUGAUUGAUAGGAACAGUCGUGGGUAUUCGUAUGAGCAUGUCAGAGGUGAAAUUCUUGCAUUUUGAUCAGACGAACUACUGCGAAAGCAUUUACCAAGGAUGUUUUCAUUAAUCAAGAACGAAAGUUAGGGGAUCGAAGAUGAUUAGAUACCAUCGUAG